rnacentral:rRNA from 1 species
UACGGGGGGAGCAAGCGUUGUUCGGAAUUACUGGGCGUAAAGGGCUCGUAGGUGGCCAACUAAGUCAGACGUGAAAUCCCUCGGCUUAACCGGGGAACUGCAUCUGAUACUGGAUGGCUUGAGUUUGGGAGAGGGACGCGGAAUUCCAGGUGUAGCGGUGAAAUGCGUAGAUAUCUGGAGGAACACCGGUGGCGAAGGCGGCGUCCUGGACCAACACUGACACUGAGGAGCGAAAGCCAGGGGAGCAAACGGG